rnacentral:rRNA from 1 species
UUUACGGAGAGUUUGAUCCUGGCUCAGGACGAACGCUGGCGGCGUGCUUAACACAUGCAAGUCGAACGGUGAACCAGGGCUUGCCCUGGGAAUCAGUGGCGAACGGGUGAGUAACACGUGACCAACCUGCCCCUAACUCUGGGAUAACCCCGGGAAACCGGAGCUAAUACCGGAUACGAGACCGAGUGGCAUCACACGGUCUGGAAAGUUUUUCGGUUAGGGAUGGGGUCGCGGCCUAUCAGCUUGUUGGUGGGGUAAUGGCCUACCAAGGCGACGACGGGUAGCCGGCCUGAGAGGGCGACCGGCCACACUGGGACUGAGACACGGCCCAGACUCCUACGGGAGGCAGCAGUGGGGAAUAUUGCGCAAUGGGCGAAAGCCUGACGCAGCGACGCCGCGUGAGGGAUGACGGCCUUCGGGUUGUAAACCUCUUUCAGCAGGGAAGAAGCGAAAGUGACGGUACCUGCAGAAGAAGCACCGGCUAACUA